rnacentral:rRNA from 1 species
UACACGACCGUACCGCAAACCGACACUGGUGCGCGAGAUGAGUAUUCUAAGGCGCUUGAGAGAACUCAGGAGAAGGAACUCGGCAAAUUGACACCGUAACUUCGGAAGAAGGUGUGCCUUUAGUAGGUGAACCUGUACAAGGGGAGCCCAAUGAGGUUGCAAAAAAUCGGUGGCUGCGACUGUUUAAUAAAAACACAGCACUCUGCAAACACGAAAGUGGACGUAUAGGGUGUGACGCCUGCCCGGUGCUGGAAGAUUAAAUGAUGGGGUGCAAGCUCUUGAUUGAAGUCCCAGUAAACGGCGGCCGUAACUAUAACGGUCCUAAGGUAGCGAAAUUCCUUGUCGGGUAAGUUCCGACCUGCACGAAUGGCGUAACGAUGGCCACACUGUCUCCUCCUGAGACUCAGCGAAGUUGAAAUGUUUGUGAUGAUGCAAUCUCCCCGCGGAAAGACGGAAAGACCCCAUGAACCUUUACUGUAGCUUUGUAUUGGACUUUGAACAGAUCUGUGUAGGAUAGGUGGGAGGCUUUGAAGUGUGGUCGCUAGAUCGCAUGGAGCCAACGUUGAAAUACCACCCUGGUGUGUUUGAGGUUCUAACCUAGGCCCGUAAUCCGGGUCGGGGACAGUGCAUGGUAGGCAGUUUGACUGGGGCGGUCUCCUCCCAAAGCGUAACGGAGGAGUUCGAAGGUACGCUAGGUACGGUCGGACAUCGUGCUAAUAGUGCAAUGGCAUAAGCGUGCUUAACUGCGAGACUGACAAGUCGAGCAGAUGCGAAAGCAGGACAUAGUGAUCCGGUGGUUCUGUAUGGAAGGGCCAUCGCUCAACGGAUAAAAGGUACUCUGGGGAUAACAGGCUGAUACCGCCCAAGAGUUCAUAUCGACGGCGGUGUUUGGCACCUCGAUGUCGGCUCAUCUCAUCCUGGGGCUGUAGCCGGUCCCAAGGGUAUGGCUGUUCGCCAUUUAAAGAGGUACGUGAGCUGGGUUUAAAACGUCGUGAGACAGUUUGGUCCCUAUCUUCCGUGGGCGCUGCAGAUUUGAGGAAGCCUGCUCCUAGUACGAGAGGACCGGAGUGGACACACCUCUGGUGUAUCGGUUGUCACGCCAGUGGCAUUGCCGAGUAGCUAUGUGUGAAGAGAUGACCGCUGAAAGCAUCUAAGCGGGAAACUCGUUUCAAGAUGAGAUCUGCCGGGGCCUUGAGCCCCCUAAAGAGUCGUUCAAGACCAGGACGUUGAUAGGUCGGGUGUGGAAGCGCAGUAAUGCGUUAAGCUAACCGAUACUAAUUGCUCGUGCGGCUUGACCCU